CAACAGAAGCGCUUGUAUUCCAAAUCUGUUUAAAAAAUGAGCAGUGGUGACUGGACGUCGGGCAAUCCUGACCAAUACUUGAACUGUCGGCGUGACAUCUCCCCCAAGUGGCGCGCCGAUAAAGGUACCGAAGGACCGUGUGCCUUUGUUUUACUCCUAAUGGUCUUAACCCGGAUUCCCCCCCCAGAACCCGG
rfam:Pseudomonas batumici strain TCM B-321 Contig_18, whole genome shotgun sequence.